rnacentral:sRNA from 1 species
CGGAGGGAUCAUUCACAACAAAAUAUGAGGGUGUGGUUUGCGGCAACAGCGUCCGCCCCAAGUAUUUUUCACCCAUGUCUUUUGCGCACAUUUUUGUUUCCUGGGCGAGUUCGCUCGCCACCAGGACCCAACCAUAAACCUUUUUUUAUGCAGUUGCAAUCAGCGUCAGUAUAAUAAUUCAAUUUAUUAAAACUUUCAACAACGGAUCUCUUGGUUCUGGCAUCGAUGAAGAACGCAGCGAAAUGCGAUACAGUAGUGUGAAUUGCAGAAUUCAGUGAAUCAUCGAAUCUUUGAACGCACAUUGCGCCCUUUGGUAUUCCAAAGGGCAUGCCUGUUCGAGCGUCAUUUGUACCCCUCAAGCUUUGCUUGGUGUUGGGGCGUCUUUUUGUCUCUCCCCUUGUUGGGGGAGACUCGCCUUAAAACGAUUGGCAGCCGACCUACUGGUUUUCGGAGCGCAGCACAAAUUUGCGCCUUCCAAUCCGCAGGGCGGCAUCCAAGCAAGCCC